ACCCGCUGAACUUAAGCAUAUCAAUAAGCGGAGGAAAAGAAAAUAACAAUGAUUUCCCUAGUAACGGCGAGUGAACAGGAAAAAGCUCAAAGUUGGAACCUGUUUGGCCUAGCUAAACCGGAUUGUAAACUGUAGAAGUGUUUUCCAGGCAAGCCGGACCGAUAAGUCCUUUGGAACAGGGCAUCAUAGAGGGUGAGAAUCCCGUCUUCGGUCUGAGCAUUUGUCUUUUGCGAUACACUUUCAAAGAGUCAGGUUGUUUGGGAAUGCAGCCUAAAUUGGGUGGUAAAUCUCACCUAAAGCUAAAUAUUGGCGAGAAACCGAUAGCGAACAAGUACCGUGAGGGAAAGAUGAAAAGAACUUUGAAAAGAGAGUUAAACAGUAUGUGAAAUUGUUAAAAGGGAACCGUUUGGAGCCAGACUGGCUUGUCCGUAAUCAGUCUAAGUUUCGGCUUGGAUGCACUUGCAGGCUAUGCCUGCCAACGACAAUUUGGCUUGAGGGAAAAAACUAGGGGAAAUGUGGCCCAUUCGUGGGUGUUAUAGUCCCUUAGAAAAUACCUUGGGCUGGAUUGAGGUACGCAGCGAAUGCUAUUUGGCGAGUUGGCUGGGAAUAUUUUCUGAGGUGCUCCGGUACUGAGGUUGAUAUUCCCAGUUACACUUCUAUUCGCUUAGGUUGUUGGCUUAAUGACUCUAAAUGACCCGUCUUGAAACACGG
rnacentral:rRNA from 1 species